ACCACCUGCUCGUGGCGUCCCAGCAGCCGCCUUUGCUGCGCCUCCGCGCGGUUGGCACCCAGCAGGCUCAGCAGCCCCUGGCUCACCUCCUCCAUGUCGCGGAAGGCCGCCAUGACUACGCCAGGACCUUUCCCGCGCAAGUUUAACUGCCCUCAGGGCCCGCCUCUCUCCCCAGGAGCCUCAUUCCCAUUGGUUUGCUCCUCCAUCAGUCAUCAGGAAUGGGCGGGCGGUAGCCUCUGGCCUCGUCUAGUGCGCCUGCGCCGGCUCCUCCUCCGUCUCCGGCAAUGGCCAAUCGGCGCAGGGAGGUGGGGCUUGUGUGCCUGCGGGAGUCCUGCGUGACGCGCCUGCGCAGGCUGGAAAGCAUCUGGCGGCUCCUGAGGCUGUUUGUCUGUUUAGCUGUAGCUGCACCAGGGGCGCGGUGCCAGGGGCGAAGCGUUGGACCGCCUCUCGUGGGCUGACGUUCUAUAGGGUGUGCGUGGGAUGCUCGCAAUCAGCGUAAUAAAUAAAUAAGUAAAUUCCGUAAGGAUGCACAGCAAGCUGGAGCAUGCAGCCAGAUAUAUGGGGUCCGAAUCCCACUUCCUAGCUUCCUUAUCCUGGGCAAGUGACUUCACCCCUCUGUGCCUCACUUUCCUCGUCAGUAAAAUGAGGGUCAUAAUAGUACCUACGUAGGGGUCGGCGUGAGGAUUAAGUGAGGACGGUGCUGAGUAUUCAGGGAGCACUAUAUUAAGGCGUUCAAGAAAACAUACAUGGAACCCUAGCAGGUGCGGCACCUACCCUAACGGGCACCAGACACCAUGCUGUGUGAAGGGUCAUAGGAGAGAAAAGACAAAAUGCGCAUUUAUAUGACAAAUUUCUCAAACUGAGUUUUGGGGAUACUCUUACUCAGAGCCCAGCUGCCAUGUUGUGAGGAAUCCGAGGUGAUGUAAAGAAUCUCCCAGAGGAGGUUGCAGCAGAAGCCAGCAUCAACCACCAGACCAGUGAGUGAGCACAGAAGUGAUUUUAGUCGCCACCCUUCGAGCCAUCACAUCUGACAGCAGGAGGAGCAGAGAUGAGCUGUCCCCACCAAGCCCUGCUGAAACUGCAGAUCUGGAGACAGAUCACCAAGGGAAAGGGAGACAAGCAGGCUCCCUACUGAACAAGGAGACUGAUAUGGGGCUCAAUUCCAGGACCCCAAGAUCAUGACCCGAUGGAAGAUGCUUAACCAACUGAGCCACCAAGGUGCCCUCAUUUCUGUAUUUUUAGAAUUUUGCCUUUUGCAAUCACUAUGAAGUAUUUUAUCAUGAGGGAAAAAAAUAUCAGUAAAGAUCUUUUUCUGUGGUGUUCACAGUGGGUGUUCAUUAAAACUUUCUGCAGGGGCGCCUGGGUGAUGCAGUCAGUUGAACGUUUGACUCUUGGUUUCAGCUCAGGUUCUGGUCUUGGAGUCAUAGCAUCGAGCCCCAUGUUGGGCUCUGUGCUCAGUG